rnacentral:lncRNA from 1 species
CAUAUUUCAUUUUCUACAAUGUGCGAAUAAAUGUACUUCCCUGAUCUUGAUAGUCUAGGAAAGGUAUUGAAUUGUUUUGCAGAAACUAUCGUUAUCCAGCUUAGGGGGGAGAAUGUUGGAAAUCAAGAAGCUUGAUAUGCAAGUUUCAUGCACAACUCGUCAAGUCUCAUAAACAGCUCAUGAUGAAUAAAUAUACAAGCUUUCAAACGGGC